rnacentral:rRNA from 1 species
GGGGAAUAUUGCACAAUGGGCGCAAGCCUGAUGCAGCGACGCCGCGUGGGGGAUGAAGGCCUUCGGGUUGUAAACUCCUUUCGCUAGGGACGAAGCUUUUUGGUGACGGUACCUAGAUAAGAAGCACCGGCUAACUACGUGCCAGCAGCCGCGGUAAUACGUAGGGUGUGAGCGUUGUCCGGAAUUACUGGGCGUAAAGGGCUCGUAGGUGGUUUGUCGCGUCGUCUGUGAAAUUCUGGGGCUUAACUCCGGGCGUGCAGGCGAUACGGGCAUAACUUGAGUGCUGUAGGGGUAACUGGAAUUCCUGGUGUAGCGGUGAAAUGCGCAGAUAUCAGGAGGAACACCGAUGGCGAAGGCAGGUUACUGGGCAGUUACUGACGCUGAGGAGCGAAAGCAUGGGUAGCGAACAGGAUUAGAUACCCUGGUAGUCCAUGCCGUAGACGGUGGGCGCUAGGUGUGAGGGUCUUUCUACGACUUUCGUGCCGUAGCUAACGCAUUAAGCGCCCCGCCUGGGGAGUACGGCCGCAAGGCUA